AGAGAAGGCCGGACGGUCGCCGGCCGCGGCAACGCGGCGGGAGGAAAGUCCGGGCUCCGCAGGGCAGGGUGCUGGGUAACGCCCAGGGGGGGGAAACCCCACGGACCAGUGCCACAGAAAGCAGACCGCCGCCGAGAGGCGGUAAGGGUGAAACGGUGAGGUAAGAGCUCACCAGCGGCGCGGGUGACCGCGCCGGCUCGGCAAACCCCACCCGGAGCAAGGUCGAAUAGGAGCGCCACGAGGUGGCCCGCCUCGCGCUCGGGUCAGGCCGCUGGAGAUGCCGGGUAACCGGCGUCCUAGAGAAAUGACCGUCGCCCCGGGCCCACUGCUCGGGGCACAGAACCCGGCUUACAGGCCUUCUCUGGCG
rnacentral:RNase_P_RNA from 1 species